UACGGGGGGGGCAAGCGUUGUUCGGAAUUACUGGGCGUAAAGGGCUCGUAGGCGGCCAACUAAGUCAGACGUGAAAUCCCUCGGCUUAACCGGGGAACUGCGUCUGAUACUGGAUGGCUUGAGUUUGGGAGAGGGAUGCGGAAUUCCAGGUGUAGCGGUGAAAUGCGCAGAUAUCAGGAGGAACACCAAUGGCGAAGGCAGCACUCUGGGCCGGUACUGACGCUGAGGAGCGAAAGCGUGGGGAGCAAACAGG
rnacentral:rRNA from 1 species